rnacentral:rRNA from 1 species
AAAAACUCCGGUGGUAUACGAUGGAUCCGCGUCUGAUUAGCCAGUUGGCGGGGUAACGGCCCACCAAAGCGACGAUCAGUAGCCGGCCUGAGAGGGUGAACGGCCACAUUGGGACUGAGACACGGCCCAAACUCCUACGGGAGGCAGCAGUGGGGAAUAUUGCACAAUGGGGGAAACCCUGAUGCAGCGACGCCGCGUGAGUGAAGAAGUAUUUCGGUACGUAAAGCUCUAUCAGCAGGGAAGAAAAAAAGUCCUUUGGACUUUGGACGGUACCUGACCAAGAAGCCCCGGCUAACUACGUGCCAGCAGCCGCGGUAAUACGUAGGGGGCAAGCGUUAUCCGGAUUUACUGGGUGUAAAGGGAGCGUAGACGGCAGCGCAAGUCUGGAGUGAAAUGCCGGGGCCCAACCCCGGAACUGCUUUGGAAACUGUGCAGCUCGAGUGCAGGAGAGGUAAGCGGAAUUCCUAGUGUAGCGGUGAAAUGCGUAGAUAUUAGGAGGAACACCAGUGGCGAAGGCGGCUUACUGGACUGUAACUGACGUUGAGGCUCGAAAGCGUGGGGAGCAAACAGGAUUAGAUACCCUGGUAGUCCACGCCGUAAACGAUGAUUACUAGGUGUCGGGGGGCCAAGGCCCUUCG